rnacentral:rRNA from 1 species
AGUACGGCGAGUGAAGCGGCAAAAGCUCAAAUUUGAAAUCCCCCGGGAAUUGUAAUUUGAAGAGAUUUGGGUCCGGCCGGCAGGGGUUAAGUCCACUGGAAAGUGGCGCCACAGAGGGUGACAGCCCCGUGAACCCCUUUAACGCCCYCAUCCCAGRUCUCCAAGAGUCGAGUUGUUUGGGAAUGCAGCUCUAAGUGGGUGGUAAAUUCCAUCUAAAGCUAAAUACCGGCGAGAGACCGAUAGCGAACAA